rnacentral:misc_RNA from 1 species
CCCCCCCACCCACAAAAACCACAACACCCACAAACCCAAAAAACCCCACAACCCCCCCACACCCCACCAACCCCACAAACCCCACACACCCCACAAAAC